AAGUCGGACACUUAACCGACUGAGCCACCCAGGCGCCCCUCAGGAUGCAUGACAAUCAAGUGUGCUCUUCAAUCCCCUUCAAGUUUUGGACCUGUUGUGUAAUUCCUACAGCACAUAAUCAAAGUGCUAUUUGAUCUAACUGGUUUGGGGUCUAUAUACAAUGAUCCCCUUGGAGGAGUCCCCAGAUGUUUUCCAGAUCAUUUAUUCCAUUGAUUCAGUACAAUUUAUUGGGUGUGUGUGUGUGCCAGGUACUAGUUAUGCAAUGAUGACUAAGAUAGUCCCUAUUCUCUGUCAGCUUCUUAUAGUAAAGUCUGUGAACUGACCACACAGAUGACCUGCAGAAGUCUGCUGCAGAUUCUCCUGCCCUAUUCCAGACCUCCUGAACCCAAAUCUCAGAGGCAAGGGAUUCUGCGCUUUGAAGAUGUUCCCUAGAUCCUUUCAUUCAGGAGGCAUCUCCCUGGAGACGGAGGAAAUGGUAGGAGUCCCCUGGGGUGCUGUCAGCUCCACUUGCUGAACUUCUGGAGAAAGAGUGAAAUACUAGGUAAAGGAAAUGCCUCCAGCCUGCUCCUAGGGAGAGGCAGGACUGGGAGGAGUGGGGAGGUGAGAGGGACCCUUGACCUGAAUAAGUUGGAGACGUUUCCAAGUGUGGCUCCCUUCCCACUCUCAACCUCCCAGCACUAGUGCCCCUGACAGGAAGGAAAACUGCCUUGUCCUGUGGCCCCUUUCAGUUCUAGUACAGCUAGAAGGAUAUUCCCCACAUUUGUGCUCUUACCUUCUUUACUUCUAGGCAAACCCCAAAGCCCCCAGCCUCAAAGAAGGGCCGUUCCUGGGGCAGUGCUGACAAGUCCAGGUUAGAGGGACUUGGGAAGUCUCAGAUCAGAGGCUGGCACUCUUAUCAACCACCCUACCCAACCCUUGUGUCCAGGCUCCUCCUUGAAGGCCUGCCUAUCAGAGGUUUAUUCCUGACCAGGGCCACUAGGACAGAGGAAGUUUGUGGGGUUGGACCACCACACCAUACAUCUUCACCAGCCUUCUUUGCUACUCUUUCACUGCAAAUGUAAAAUAAUCCAUUGGCAGUAUCGCUUCUGUGGUCCCACUUAAAUCAUUGUUUCUGGGACUGUGUUGAAAACAAAAUCCUGACAAACAAAUGUUUAGAACACAGACUCUUUGAAGAAUGGUGUCUUGUACCCAUUUACUACCACAAGCAUUUCUUAUGUAUCUUACACCAGUCUGGGAAAUGCUCUGUCUGUGCUUUCAUAAAUUGGGCCGUUGCUGCUGGUGCUCCAGGAUGGUUUUAGGUUGUACACUAACAGGGCAGCAAAUGCCAUUGACUUAUCAUGAAAAUAUUACCACCAUUCUAAUUA